UGGAGGGAAACAACAACCAAGUUCAGAAGACAGAUGACGCACCACGACCAAAUAUAUUGGACAUUCCCCUUUCGAGGACAAUUACAAAGAAUGUAUAACGUAUAAUUUUUUCAUCAUCGUCUAAUGAUUGUACGUUUUCGUAUUUUAUUUAUACAAACAACGAAGGUUUAUACUAACAAAUAUAGAAGAGAACUGUUCCCUAAUGGGAAAGUUAAAGUCACAAUAUAUUGGAGCGAAGGGAAGGAAUGUCAUGGUUGUGGACGAGGCCACACCUCCGCCGGACGGAAGGAGCGGCAAAAGGCCAAGGCGGCAUAAUUACAGUAAUCCUUAACUUCUUUGAAAAUUUCGGUAUUAACGAAUUCAGUAUAAUUGAUUUAAGACGAAUUGUGUUUUUUCCUGACAGGAGGAGGAAGACAAGGAAGAAGAUAAUUUUAUUUAAUUUAAAUUAUUAACUAU
rnacentral:lncRNA from 1 species